GAUGAAGAACGUAGCGAAAUGCGAUACGUAGUGUGAAUUGCAGAAUUCAGUGAAUCAUCGAAUCUUUGAACGCACAUUGCGCCCCCUGGUAUUCCGGGGGGCAUGCCUGUUCGAGCGUCAUUUCACCACUCAAGCCUCGCUUGGUAUUGGGCAACGCGGUCCGCCGCGUGCCUCAAAUCGACCGGCUGGGUCUUCUGUCCCCUAAGCGUUGUGGAAACUAUUCGCUAAAGGGUGCUCGGGAGGCUACGCCGUAAAACAAACCCAUUUCUAAGGUUGACCUCGGAUCAGGUAGGGAUACCCGCUGAACUUAAGCAUAUCAAUAAGCGGAGGA
rnacentral:misc_RNA from 1 species